rnacentral:rRNA from 1 species
CCGUAGUGGCGGACGGGUGAGUAACGCGUGAGUAACCUGCCUUUCAGAGGGGAAUAACGUUCUGAAAAGAACGCUAAUACCGCAUAACGUACAGUUACCGCAUGGUAGCAGUACCAAAGGAGCAAUCCGCUGAAAGAUGGACUCGCGUCCGAUUAGCUAGUUGGUGGGGUAAAGGCCUACCAAGGCGACGAUCGGUAGCCGGACUGAGAGGUUGAACGGCCACAUUGGGACUGAGACACGGCCCAG